rnacentral:rRNA from 1 species
UUGAUCCUGCUGGAGGGUACUGCUAUCGGAGUUUGACUAAGCCAUGCAAGUCUAACCCUAGGACUUCCUGGGGUGGCAAAAUGCUGAGUAACACGUAGUCAAUCUACCCUGUGGCCGGGGAUAACCUUGAGAAAUUGAGGACAAUACCCGAUAUUCCACCUAUGCUGGAAUGCUUGGUGGUUUAAACGGGCUGUGAAUUGGAACAGUUCCGCCAUAGGACGAGACUGCGGGGGAUUAUGGUUGUUGGUAGGGUAAUGGCCUACCAAGCCGAUAAUCUCUAGGGGCCAUGAGAGUGGUGGCCCCCAGAAGGGCACUGAGACAAGGGCCCUAGCCCUACGGGGUGCAGCAGGCGCGAAACCUCUACAAUGCUGGAAACAGUGAUAGGGGAACUCCGAGUGGCGUCGGCUAAGCCGGCGUCUUUUGCCAAGUGUAAAUAGCUUGGAGAAUAAGGGUGUGGGCAAGACUGGUGGCAGCCGCCGCGGUAACACCAGCGCCUCGAGUGGUACCCACGAAUACUGGGCCUAGAGCGUUCGUAGCCGGCCAGAUAAGUCUUCUGUGAAAUAGUGUGGCUUAACCUCACUGCGCGCAGGAGAUACUGUGUGGCUUGGGAACGGG